CAGCCCCGAUUCUGGCUGGUGGAAGG
rnacentral:piRNA from 1 species